rnacentral:rRNA from 1 species
UACGUAGGGGGCAAGCGUUGUCCGGAUUUAUUGGGCGUAAAGAGCGUGUAGGCGGCCUGAAAGGUCAGCUGUGAAAACUCGAGGCUCAACCUCGAGACGUCGGUUGAAACCAUCUGGCUAGAGUCCGGAAGAGGAGUGUGGAAUUCCCCGGUGUAGCGGUGAAAUGCGCAGAUAUCGGGGAAGAACACCCGUGGCGAAGGCGGCACUCUGGGACGGUACUGACG